AUGGCCAGAGCUUCAGCAGGGACUGGCUCGCCCCCACGCAUCAACCUCUGCCCCGCUGCUUUGAUGGGGUGGAUGUUUAUAUCAGGGACUUUGACGGAAAAUGCUUUCAUAUUCGGGAGGUGCCCGGGGUGAAAGUAUGCCACGUUGCUAGAGGAAUCAGCGAUCAGAUCUCGGAGAACGUGUUCAGCCUGCAAACAGAGGAUGGUUGCUUGGUGCCCCAUGACAAAGAGGUCCUAGAGAACAGCCUGUUUUUGCGUUGUGUCCCGGCCCCCGACUCCAGCCACUAUCAUCAGUACGGACACAGCCCCUGCUGCACGCCUGGCCCCAACUGCAAACUACCAUGGAGCUGGAGGAUCAGAGAGGGGGUGCUGGAGACUAAAGACUGAUCUCUCCAUCCCCAAUCAGUUUCUGUUAAGCACUCUGUUCCAAUCAAAGUACUUUUGCAUUGAAUUUUUAAUCGUGAAUCUCAUCUGUGCUUUUCACCUGUCAAACUUUUGAGCCAUUGCCAUAGUAUUGGUUUACAUUCUUAGUAUUUUCAAGUUGUUUUAACUGACUGUGCAGAUCUUUUGUUGUGCUGUGUUGUGAAGAACAUUGUGGGCCUUCAUGGAGUAAUUUCAUGAUUAAUGGCAAGAUUUUAAAGCCUUUAGCCGAUCAAGUAUUUGCCUUAAACCCUGAGCACUUAUGAAUUAGUUUUCAGUGUCAGUAUGGUUUACCUGUGGGACAUAAAGAUGCACAUCAAAGUAAAGAAUCAUUGAUCUCCUUUCUAAGAAUGUUUUAACUGUGUUUUAAAGAAUC